GGGGAUGUAGCUCAAAGGAAGAGCCGCCGCCUUGCAAGCGGUCGAUGCGGGUUCGAGUCCCGCCUUCUCCA
rnacentral:tRNA from 1 species